rnacentral:rRNA from 1 species
UACGUAGGCAGCAAGCGUUGUUCGGAAUUACUGGGCGUAAAGAGUGUGUAGGCGGUUUUCUAAGUUCGGUGUGAAAUCUCCCGGCUUAACUGGGAGGGUGCGCCGGAAACUGGAGGACUGGAGUGCCGGAGAGGAUAGCGGAAUUCCUGGUGUAGCGGUGAAAUGCGCAGAUAUCAGGAGGAACACCAAUGGCGAAGGCAGCUCGCUGGGACGUGACUGACGCUGAGACGCGAAAGCGUGGGGAGCAAACAGG